UACGUAGGGUGCGAGCGUUAAUCGGAAUUACUGGGCGUAAAGCGUGCGCAGGCGGUUCGUUGUGUCGGCGGUGAAAGCCCCGGGCUUAACCUGGGAAUGGCCGUUGAAACUGGCGAACUGGAGUGUGGCAGAGGGGGGUGGAAUUCCGCGUGUAGCAGUGAAAUGCGUAGAGAUGCGGAGGACCACCGAUGGCGAAGGCAGCCCCCUGGGCUAACACUGACGCUCAGGCACGAAAGCGUGGGGAGCAAACAGG
rnacentral:rRNA from 1 species